GAUGAACGCUGGCGGCGUGCCUAAUACAUGCAAGUCGAGCGAACAGACGAGGAUCUUGCUCCUCUGACGUUAGCGGCGGACGGGUGAGUAACACGUGGAUAACCUACCUAUAAGACUGGGAUAACUUCGGGAAACCGGAUCUAAUACCGGAUAAUAUAUUGAACCGCAUGGUUCAAUAGUGAAAGACGGUUUUGCUGUCACUUAUAGAUGGAUCCGCGCCGCAUUAGCUAGUUGGUAAGGUAACGGCUUACCAAGGCAACGAUGCGUAGCCGACCUGAGAGGGUGAUCGGCCACACUGGAACUGAGACACGGUCCAGACUCCUACGGGAGGCAGCAGUAGGGAAUCUUCCGCAAUGGGCGAAAGCCUGACGGAGCAACGCCGCGUGAGUGAUGAAGGUCUUCGGAUCGUAAAACUCUGUUAUUAGGGAAGAACAAAUGUGUAAGUAACUAUGCACGUCUUGACGGUACCUAAUCAGAAAGCCACGGCUAACUACGUG
rnacentral:rRNA from 1 species